GGCGGAGCUCAGUGGCAGAGCGUGUGCUCAGCAUGCACAAGGUCCUGGGUUCAAUGCCCAGGACCUCCA
rnacentral:tRNA from 1 species